AGAGUUUGAUCCUGGCUCAGAUUGAACGCUGGCGGCAUGCCUUACACAUGCAAGUCGAACGGUAACAGGUCUUCGGAUGCUGACGAGUGGCGAACGGGUGAGUAAUACAUCGGAACGUGCCCGAGAGUGGGGGAUAACGAAGCGAAAGCUUUGCUAAUACCGCAUACGAUCUCAGGAUGAAAGCAGGGGACCGCAAGGCCUUGCGCUCACGGAGCGGCCGAUGGCAGAUUAGGUAGUUGGUGGGAUAAAAGCUUACCAAGCCGACGAUCUGUAGCUGGUCUGAGAGGACGACCAGCCACACUGGGACUGAGACACGGCCCAGACUCCUACGGGAGGCAGCAGUGGGGAAUUUUGGACAAUGGGCGCAAGCCUGAUCCAGCCAUGCCGCGUGCAGGAUGAAGGCCUUCGGGUUGUAAACUGCUUUUGUACGGAACGAAAAGACUUUGGUUAAUACCUGGGGUCCAUGACGGUACCGUAAGAAUAAGCACCGGCUAACUACGUGCCAGCAGCCGCGGUAAUACGUAGGGUGCGAGCGUUAAUCGGAAUUACUGGGCGUAAAGCGUGCGCAGGCGGUUAUAUAAGACAGAUGUGAAAUCCCCGGGCUCAACCUGGGAACUGCAUUUGUGACUGUAUAGCUAGAGUACGGCAGAGGGGGAUGGAAUUCCGCGUGUAGCAGUGAAAUGCGUAGAUAUGCGGAGGAACACCGAUGGCGAAGGCAAUCCCCUGGCCUGUACUGACGCUCAUGCACGAAAGCGUGGGGAGCAAACAGGAUUAGAUACCCUGUAGUCCACGCCCUAAAC
rnacentral:rRNA from 1 species